rnacentral:rRNA from 1 species
UACGUAGGUGGCAAGCGUUUGUGUACCGGGAAUUAUUGGGCGUAAAGUCGCGCGCAGGCGGAUCCUUUAACGGUCUCGGCAUGUGAAAAGCCCACGGCUCAACCGUGGAGGGUCAUUGGAAACUGGGGGAACUUGAGUGCAGGAGAGAAGAGUGGAAUUCCACGGUGUAAGCGGUGAAAUGCGUAGAGAUGUGGAGGAACACCAGUGGCGAAGGCGAACUCUU